rnacentral:rRNA from 1 species
UACGUAGGGUGCAAGCGUUGUCCGGAAUUAUUGGGCGUAAAGAGCUCGUAGGCGGUUCGUCGCGUCGGCUGUGAAAACCCGGAGCUCAACUCCGGGCCUGCAGUCGAUACGGGCGGACUAGAGUUCGGCAGGGGAGACUGGAAUUCCUGGUGUAGCAGUGAAAUGCGCAGAUAUCAGGAGGAACACCGGUGGCGAAGGCGGGUCUCUGGGCCGAUACUGACGCUGAGGAGCGAAAGCGUGGGGAGCGAACAGG